GACGAACGCUGGCGGCGUGCUUAACACAUGCAAGUCGAACGAUGAAGCCUAGCUUGCUAGGUGGAUUAGUGGCGAACGGGUGAGUAAUACGUGAGUAACCUACCUUUAACUCUGGGAUAAGCCCGGGAAACUGGGUCUAAUACCGGAUACGACCAAUCUCCGCAUGGGGUGUUGGUGGAAAGCGUUAUGUAGUGGUUAUAGAUGGGCUCACGGCCUAUCAGCUUGUUGGUGAGGUAACGGCUCACCAAGGCGACGACGGGUAGCCGGCCUGAGAGGGUGACGGGCCCCAGUGGGACGGACACAGGGCCCAGCCCCCUCGGGGGGGAGGCGGUGGGAAAUAUGGCACAAGGGGCGCACCCCGAAUGAGGCGCCGCCGGGGGGGGGAGAUGGCCCGUGGUUUUAUAAACUUUUGUGAGCAGGAAAGAAGGGAGAUGACCGUACCCUAAAAGAAAGGCCCGGCCAAAGCUGGCC
rnacentral:rRNA from 1 species